rnacentral:rRNA from 1 species
UGAGUAACAUGUGGGAAUCUGCCUUGUGGUUCAGGACAACAUUGGGAAACCGAUGCUAAUACUGGAUAAGCCCUUACGGGGAAAGUUUUAAUGCCAUAAGAUGAGCCCGCAUUUGAUUAGUUAGUUGGUGAGGUAAUGGCUCACCAAGACAAUGAUCAAUAGCUGAUCUGAGAGGAUGAUCAGCCACACUGGGACUGAGACACGGCCCAGACUCCUACGGGAGGCAGCAGUGGGGAAUCUUGCACAAUGGAGGAAACUCUGAUGCAGCGAUGCCGCGUGAGUGAAGAAGGCCUUUGGGUUGUAAAGCUCUUUUGUAGGGGAAGAUAAUGACUGUACCCUAAGAAUAAGGUCCGGCUAACUUCGUGCCAGCAGCCGCGGUAAUACGAAGGGACCUAGCGUAGUUCGGAAUUACUGGGCGUAAAGCGCGCGUAGGCCGUUGAGUUAGUUAAUUGUGAAAUCCCAAAGCUUAACUUUGGAACUGCAAUUAAAACUGCUCGACUAGAGUUUGAUAGAGGAAAGCGGAAUACAUAGUGUAGAGGUGAAAUUCGUAGAUAUUAUGUAGAACACCAGUUGCGAAGGCGGCUUUCUGGAUCAACACUGACGCUGAGGCGCGAAAGUAUGGGUAGCAAAGAGGAUUAGAUACCCUCGUAGUCCAUACCAUAAACGAUGAUUGCUAGAUGUUGGAAAUUUAUUUUCAGUAUCGCAGCUAACGCAUUAAGCAAUCCGCCUGGGGAGUACGACCGCAAGGUUAAACUCAAUGAAUUGACGG